CAACGCGGGUUGCUAAGUUACUAGCUUGGGAGGUUGCGCUUGCUGACAGUACAGUGAUGACUUGGUGGUGCAAAGAUGAAAUCUCUGUUCCUGUCAAACAGUUGGAGACGUCUGGCUUUAGCUCCGACCCGCAUUCAAACGGCUCCCAGCAGACGUGUGAUCAGAGACGAUCCGUCUUUAUCUGAGGCUCGACUCAUCGUUCAGCAGACUGAAGGAAAACCCCGAGAGGAGCUGCUCGGAUCCAGGAGGACUCGGCCUCAGCAGAGGCAGGAGAAACGCCCGAGCGGUCCGAAGGAGGCUGCAUCGGCACACUGUGACAACUUCUGCCGGACCCUGAUUCCUUCCUGGACUUGUUCCCCACAUCUUUUGGACUCAGUGAACUCUGCUGCCCUGUCUAACUUCACACAGAAGAUCAUUUUCUUCAGUCUCCAGCAUUUCCCUUGAACUUUUGAUUUUAACUCACUAACCUGUGUUUUUUGUUGUUGUGUUGUGUUGUGUUUUGCUUUGUGUUUUUGGUGGCGC